GCCGUAGGACGUCCACGACGCCUUACCACGUAACGACGCUCGCGACCCUGGACUGUACGGCGCGGCUUCCGUGGACCGUUCGUCCGCGUGAUGAGGGGACAUGGCGGCUCCCUUUCCAGUGACCUCAAAAGUCGGCAGGCAGCAGCAAGGUGGCCUGGAUGGGACUGUGGGAAAUAGACUUCCAGGCUGUGGACACUGUGGAGCUCAGAUGCCUCUUCCCCUAGAAUGACAACAUGGACCGGAAGGGCCAGCAGGCUACCUUAGAAGUUACUCAAGGGUCUCCUCGGAAAGCACACCUCUUUAAUCCAGCUGUGAAGCAGCAGGGACGCCCAGGACGCCAGGCUUUUCCUUCCUCUCAGCAACGUUCUGCUCUGAUCAACUCGACACCUUACGCGGAGGCGGACGUGUGUCAACACCUGCACCUGUGAGGACUUUGUAGCGCGUGAACCCUUGCAGGCAGAGGGUGCCUGUAGCCUGGCAGUGCCAGAAAGGUCUUCACUUCUUUCCUUUUCUGUAUAAAUCACUUCUUUUCUGUGUGGUGUUGAAUUUAUCGAAUUCCGGUGAAGACAUUUGGUCAUUCGAAGGGGCGCUUGUAGCAGGGGGUGGGCGUUAAACAGAAACAUGCACUGUUCUGAAGUGUUCUCAAAGAGGCUUGUAACCCUCAGUCUCAGCAGCUAACUCUGGUUCCUCUACUUGCCUAUUGGUACCAGUUUCAACCAGAACCUGGCAUCAUAGAAGCUGAAGUUCAGCCACCCAAGUUCAAAGUGCACGUUUCUUUAUUGAGGAGAAGUGAGAGUGCCUAGGCUCUUCCCAGCACAUGGGCAUCUCCUGCUCUUUUGGUUUAUCCCUGUAAUGGGUUAAAUUACUUUAAAUCCUUGGAAGAUGGGGGUCAUGGUUCAUUUCUCACUUAGUGAAAAACUGAAACAGAUACUGUCUUUUUUCCUGCCUCAGGUUUAUUUGUACAAACAGCACAGGUAGACAUGAGCCCCAUGCAGACAG